CCUUUAUUCUUUGACGGCCUUUUAUCUUAUUAGAGAAACUUGCUUCUUAAUCGACAAUCCACGUUCAGUUUUACUUUUUUUCAGUUCUUAUACCGCCGUCUUAAGAGCGAAUUUACAAAUCCCCUCUAAUUAGUUUUACUUUAAAGUCAGGUCAAGGUGAGACCCAUAAAGGAGAUGAAGUGAGUUACACAUUUUCAUAAAUAAUUAUUCAAUUUUAAAAAAUUCUAUUAUGAAAAAACUAGGAUUUAAAAGUAGUUCAAAAAUAAUAUUUUUGAACGAACUUGACUAAAAGGUGUACAUAUCGCCGUCACCCUCAUCAAAAGAUGAGGUAAGUCGUAACACAGUUAGUGUCUGGAAAGUGCACUAAGCGAAUCAAUAAUAGCUUCAUUACAGCACUUCACUUCACUGAAAA
rnacentral:rRNA from 1 species